rnacentral:tRNA from 1 species
GAGGAUGUAGUUCAAGGGUACAGCACUUGCCUAGUAGGCAUCAAGAUCCUGGGUUCAAUUCCCAGCACUCACA